rnacentral:rRNA from 1 species
AUUGAACGCUGGCGGCAGGCCUAACACAUGCAAGUCGAACGAGUGGCGUACGGGUUGGUCAUGUCUGGGCAACGGCCUGAUGGAGGAGGAUAACUACUGGAAACUGUAGCUAAUACCGCAUACCAUCGGCUAGGCCCAGGUGGCAUUAGAUAGUGGGGGGGGUCACGGCUCACCUAGGCGACGAUCCCGAGCUGGUCUGAGAGGAUGAACAGCCACACUGGAACUGAGACACGGGCCAGACGCCUACGGGAGGCAGCAGUGGGGAAUAUUGCACAAUGGGCGAAAGCCUGAUGCAGCCAUGCCGCGUGUAUGAAGAAGGCCUUCGGGUUGUAAAGUACUUUAAGUGGGGAGGCGUUACUCGCAGAAGAAGCACCGGCUAACUCCGUGCCAGCAGCCGCGGUAAUUC